rnacentral:rRNA from 1 species
UACGGGGGGGGCAAGCGUUGUUCGGAAUUACUGGGCGUAAAGGGCUCGUAGGCGGCCAACUAAGUCAGACGUGAAAUCCCUCGGCUUAACCGGGGAACUGCGUCUGAUACUGGAUGGCUUGAGAUUGGGAGAGGGAUGCGGAAUUCCAGGUGUAGCGGUGAAAUGCGUAGAUAUCUGGAGGAAUACCGGUGGCGAAGGCGGCAUCCUGGACCGACAUUGACGCUGAACGGCGAAAGCUAGGGGAGCAAACGGG